rnacentral:rRNA from 1 species
GCCGCGGUAAUUCCAGCUCCAAUAGCGUAUAUUAAAGUUGUUGCAGUUAAAAAGCUCGUAGUUUGAAUUAAGGGCCACCCGGUUACGUGUGCUGCCGGAAGGUAGUAACUGUAGCCGGGACCCUCCUGCCCGGUCUUCUCUGCUCCGCUCUUAAGUGAGUGGGGUGGAGAUCCGGGCCGUUUACUUUGAAAAAAUUAGAGUGUUCAAAGCAGGCUAGCUGAAUGCCUUGAAUAGAUUAGCAUGGGAUAAUGAAACACGACUUCGUCUUAUGUUUCGUUGGUUUUAAAGGCGGAGUAAUGAUUAAUAGGAACGGUCGGGGUGAUCCAUAUUCAAUUGUCAGAGGUGAAAUUCUUAGAUUUUUUGAAGAUGAACCAAGGCGAAAGCAUUUCACAAGUACGCUCCCAUUAAUCAAGAACGAAAGUUAGGGGAUCGAAGACGAUCAGAUACCGUCGUAGUCUUAACCAUAAACUAUGCGGACCAAGGAUCAGGAGAAGUCCUUUGUACGACUCCCUUGGAACUUUGUGAGAAAUCACGAGUCUUUGCGUUCUGGGGGGAGUAUGGUCGCAAGGCUGAAACUUAAAGGAAUUGACGGAAGGGCACACCAGGAGUGGAGCCUGCGGCUUGAUUUGACCCAACACGGGAAAACUCACCAGGUCAGGACAUAGUCAGGAUUGACAGAUUGAUAGUUCUUUCUUAAUUUCUAUGGGUGGUGGUGCAUGGCCGUUCUUAGUUGGUGGAGUGAUUUGUCUGGUUAAUUCCGAUAACGAACGAGACCUCAGCUUGUUAACUAGUGCUAGUGAGCUUCUACCGGGUGAAGGGUUGGGGCCUUGGCAGUCCUGGGAAACUGGGGCUGUCAACUCCGGCUUGGAUCCUUGAUGACUCGCUGGCUUUUACUUCUUAAAAGGACUAUUCACGUCUAGUGAAUGGAAGUGAGGCAAUAACAGGUCUGUGAUGCCCUUAGAUGUCCUGGGCCGCACGCGCGCUACACUGACAGGUGCAACGAGUUUUACCUGCUUUGAAAGGAGUGGGUAAUCUUUUAAAAGUUUGUCGUGACAGGGAUCGAUUAUUGUAAUUAUUAGUCGUGAACGAGGAAUUCCUAGUAAGCGCAAGUCACUAGCUUGCGCUGAUUACGUCCCUGCCCUUUGUACACACCGCCCGUCGCUCCUACCGAUUGAAUGAUCCGGUGAAUACUUUGGAUUUUGGGGAGCUCGGUGGGGCAACUCAUCGAACCUCGGGAGAAAAUGCGUAAACCUUAUCAU